rnacentral:rRNA from 1 species
AACGAACGCUGGCGGAAGGCUUAACACAUGCAAGUCGAACGGUAGCACAGAGAGCUUGCUCUCGGGUGACGAGUGGCGGACGGGUGAGUAAUGUCUGGGAAACUGCCCGUUGGAGGGAGAUAACUACUGGAAACGGUAGCUAAUACCGCAUAACGUCGCAAGACCAAAGUGGGGGACCUUCGGGCCUCACACCAUCGGAUGUGCCCAGAUGGGAUUAGCUAGUAGGUGGGGUAAUGGCUCACCUAGGCGACGAUCCCUAGCUGGUCUGAGAGGAUGACCAGCCACACUGGAACUGAGACACGGCCCAGACUCCUACGGGAGGCAGCAGUGGGGAAUAUUGCACAAUGGGCGCAAGCCUGAUGCAGCCAUGCCGCGUGUAUGAAGAAGGCCUUCGGGUUGUAAAGUACUUUCAGCGGGGAGGAAGGCGGUGAAGUUAAUAACUUCACCGAUUGACGUUACCCGCAGAAGAAGCACCGGCUAACUCCGUGCCAGCCGCCGCCGUAA